AGAAAAUGGAAUUAUCAAUUUUCGUAAACGUACGUACAUACGUGGCUGCACGAGAAAAUAAAGCACUCAACAAAUAAAAUGACUAAUUAAAAUGUGGCCGUCGUGUGAACUCUGUCGCGGUUAUCUCGUGUGAACUGUCUCGGUGUCGUGGCUCACUCCAGGCUCUCGAUCCACUCUAUGCUGUUUGGCAGAUUGGAAGCCUGAACCAGCCAUCACUACAAAAUGUGCAAGUUUUGUUUGUGCUGUUCACCAGCAACCAUCUCAGCAUAUUAUCAUCGCUGGGGCAAACAGCAUCCCAUUGAGGUUUUCUCUAUUCCGCCUGGUGGAUUGAACUUUUCAGCGGAUGGAUGACGCACUUGUGGAUGGAUGCCUGGCCGUAUUUCCCAGGCCUAAAGGUAGGACUAAAUGCAUUUAAUCUAUUCUUGGUUUUUGACUAUCCUCACAACUUUUUUCUGUGGGUUUAAACCAUCAAAUUCGAAAAAUAUGUCUUAACUUUAAACACUUCAAGACAAGUGCAACUAGAAAAUGUUAUAUGGGGACCUGCGGCCCUGCUUCUCGUAUAAACAAUUAGGUCUUUGUAAUCGGGUUUGAUCCAAUCAUCAUCAAAUUUUAUUGCGCCGGAAUUCUUUCUUAUUAUGUAACUAAGGGGAUUCAAUAGAGAAGAGAUAGAGGAAAUAACACUGCAUUACGUCCGAAGCGUAAACUUAAUUGUCAGAAAUAAAAAGGGAUGGCAUCCUCGGACAUCUGUUCCGAAUUGUCGAUGGAUCCAACUAGGCCACUGGGCAUUCAUUCCGGCGGAGGCUCAGGACUAUCUACUAUACUAGCCUUGGCUGGGUGUGUGUAUACAGCACACUCGAGAGUCUAAUAAAAUCUAAAUGCCUUGACGGAAUUGUCGAAUUGAAUCACUUUGAUUGGCCACUCUUUUUCGCCUGUCUUGUAGAGCUCAGACAAAUAAACCGCAAUGUUCAUUUCCUGGAUGGAAUCAACUAAGCGGAAGUGCCGGAGAGUAUCAUAUCGAUCGAUCCGGUUAUAUACACUUCCGUCAAAUGCAACUGUACUACUACUACAACGACUCUAUAUAGCGCCCAUUAUGUGAUAUAAAUUGAUUUCCUCAUCAAGUCGAGCUAGAAAAAAAGGAAGAAAUAAAAUCGAUCGCCUAUUUAAUCAGUUGCCGAUCUAAUCAAAAGUGACGUAAGCUGAUGGGGGAGAACAGGAACGUCGUUUGCGUGGGUAUUUUUUUGACAAAAACUCGUUUGGAAAACUAUUACUCGCAAGUCUAUCUAGACGAAAUUGUUCACUAGAGCGGAUCAAUUCCAUUCACGAACCUAUACAUUAGCCGCUGGAAGAACUAACUAACUAACUAACCAACUCCUUGACAGGUCAUUAAUGCAAACGGCUCUUGUCCUACAUUCGACCUACACAUCCGCAUCGCUUGCGCAACAACAGCCAUAACACGAACCGCGGACAAUUGACGCAAAAAUAUCCCUUCCCCAAAUUAAACAAUUUGUUUCCCCCCGGUUACGUAACAAAUGAAUUUAUACAUGUCGCAGGAUCGGCCUGUGUAAGUCGAUCCUGCGUCUCCACCCAACAAAACAAUUACGUGAAGGAUAGGAUUAAGCAACUGCACAAUCACUGUCUUUUGAAUAAGAAAUGAUAUGCCUCAUCUAGAUCCUUGGUACCGUAGUAGACUACGUGUAUAUGUACCGCGGGAUCGCGUGUUGGCAGGUUCACCGAGCACAAACAUCGUCCGAAAGAAAAUAGAAGAAUAGGAAAACACACGACGAGAGAGAAAUAUUCGUGAGUUCAUCUUGAUCGGUUGAUGCUGAUGGCUGACCGAUCCAUCAUUUGCACGCGGGAUUUUGUCCCAGCUGUUUCGGAUGGGUCCUAUACACAAUCGAUCUUAUAUAAUGUAAGAAACAUACAUCAAAAGUCUUUUCUUUUCUUCUUCUUUUCUUCUGUUAACGUGUGAACCUUUAGAGAUUCCGGAUGCCCUGUGCUCCGUUCGGAACAGCAGGUGAUGCGACACUUCCGUGACGGGAGGGGGGAAAAGAAAAAAAAGAUGGGCGUGUCUAUCCGGCGAUCGAUGGCGACUCUGUUAGAUAACGUCAGAAAAAAAUAAAAGACAAUUUCUUCCAAAUGAAAUUCUAAUGAAAACAUUGACCUCAAUCAGUUUCUCUUUUGACUCUAUUGAGCCUCACUUGUUCUCAUCUCUAAAUAGACUCAAAGGCAUCAGAUAGAAUAUCAGUUGAUUAGCAUCUCUUUCACAGUCCCGCCGAGCGUGAAAUAUCUGCAAAAGGUAUUUAAAAAAAAAAGAAAUAUGGAAAUGUUGAUACAUUUUUCAUGGGGGGUGGUCUUUUUGCUGGCCGCCUCAACUGCCUUCAAGGGCCUCGUAUAAUCUCGUCGUUGGCCAGAGUCACGUGACUCGAAUACAUUUUUUCCCGGUCAAAAAGAUUGAGGGGAAAUUUUUUUUGAUUGACUUGAAUAAACAAAAGAUAAAAUGCGAAAUGAAUUUUUAUCUCUUACGGUCAAGACGAGCGUUUUCUUGCGUAUUUCUAUGCAAAUGGCGGCGUGAAUCGCCUUUGAUCUCGGAGAUUUGACGCGUCCCGUACACACUUGCACUCGGGUUGCACUUGUUGUUUUGAAGUGGAACUACACAAACGAACCAAGAAAAUGUCUGGAGAUUUUAAAAGAGAAAGACGAAAGUCUAUAGGAGUCCCGUCGGCAGUUUCACGCUCCCGAAUUUCAACUGCCCGAUGGUAUAAUCGCAUAGUAUUCGCCUUGAGAUCCGAGCGUCGAACCCCCCUCAAAAAUAGUUCACUACAAAUUCCUGCGAGAACAAUGAGAGCGACUUCAUUUCGAUCGUCGCUCAUCAUCUCUCGCUCCUUUUGUAUUUGGCGGGGUUUUUUCUAUUUUUUCAAAAUUCACGCUCAAGUGGAAUUGACUCAAUUUGAUGGCGUCUAGUAGAAAAGAGAGGAAUUUCGGGGCGUUAUAAGGAGUUUAAUGUUGCUGUGAGCGAGUGGGCGAUAUGUGAAAGGCAUUUCGAUCGGUCUAGCCGACGGGAAAAAAACAAAAUCAAAUUUCCCGAGCCUUGUCUAUGAUACAGUUUCCGGUUGGAGAAUCUAUCGAAUCCCGAAAACAAAAAGUUUGUCACUUUUUCUUACUUUGUUGUUUUAUUUUUGUUGGCAUUUUGAUAAGAAAAUUCCUAGCGCAAUGUCAUUCGGAAGUUUGGAAUGUUCUUUGUUGUCUCUUUGCACGGGUGAUGGCGCCAUAUAUGUUGAGCUCAUCAACUUUAGUAAUUAAAACUUGAGAUCGGCACGACUUGAUUUGUUAUAUCCUAGCACGUGUGUAUAACUUGUUAUUAAUAGAAGGUCGAUGACUUGUU